UACGUAGGGGGCAAGCGUUGUCCGGAUUUAUUGGGCGUAAAGAGCGUGUAGGCGGCCUGAAAGGUCAGCUGUGAAAACUCGAGGCUCAACCUCGAGACGUCGGUUGAAACCAUCUGGCUAGAGUCCGGAAGAGGAGUGUGGAAUUCCCGGUGUAGCGGUGAAAUGCGCAGAUAUCGGGAAGAACACCGGUGGCGAAGGCGGCUCACUGGCUCGUAACUGACGCUCAGGCGCGACAGCGUGGGGAUCAAACAGG
rnacentral:rRNA from 1 species